AUUGAACGCUGGCGGCAGGCCUAACACAUGCAAGUCGAACGAGUGGCGGACGGGUGAGUAGUGUCUGGGAACGUGCCCGAUGGAGGCGGCUAACUACUGUAAACGGUAGCUAAUACUGCUAAACAUCCGAUCUGCCCAGGGGGGUUUAGCGAGGAGGUGGGGUAACGGCUCACCUAGGGGACGCGCCCUAGCUGGUCUGAGAGGAAGACCAGCCACACUGGAACUGAGACACGGUCCAGACUCCUACGGGAGGCAGCAGUGGGGAAUAUUGCACAAUGGGCGCAAGCCUGAUGCAGCCAUGCCGCGUGGAUGAAGAAGGCCUUCGGGUUGUAAAGUACUUUCAGCGAGGAGGCGGUACUCACAGAGGAAGCACCGGCUAACUACGUGCCAGCAGCCGCGGUAAUUC
rnacentral:rRNA from 1 species